AUGACUCUCAUCACCAUCCUCAUCUGGACGCUGGCCUGCUGCUGUUUUACAGGAUGCAGCGGUCAGGUGACUGUGACUCAGCCUCCAGUAGUGACACCUACUCCAGGAUCCACCGUCUCUCUCACCUGUAAGAUUAGUGAACCUGUUUACAUCUGUAACGAUGUUGGUUUAUGUCUGUUCUGGUAUCAACAGAAACCUGGACAGCCUCCAAAGCUCCUCAUAAGACAUACGAGCAUAAGACAUUCAGGAACAGCAGCUCGGUUUAGUGGCAGUGGAAGCAGCUCUGACUUCACUUUGACCAUCAGUGGAGUUCAGACUGAAGACGCAGCAGUUUAUUACUGUCAGAGUGCCCACAACAGUGCAGGGUUCACACAGUGA